GGGGCCUUGAAACAGCCAGGGAGCGUCUCGCAAGUGCGGGCCGCGGCGGGGGGCGCAGCGCUGCGGGACCCCCCGGCCCGAUACAGAGAGGCGGAGGGUGGGUUAUAAAGGUCACGUUUAUCAGAGCCCCCCCCCACCUCAUCCCGCGCCGGAGGCCCCUUUGGAGACCGCCCCGGGCCCAUGCGGGGACGGCCAGCGGGCGUCGCCACAUUUGGGACCGGGGCGAGGGGGUGGGGGGGGGGGGGAGACGACACGACAGGACACGCAGCGGGGCUGGGGCUGCACGCGGCAGAGCGGGCUGUCCCGGCGGUAAUUAGCGGUCCCGGCGGUAAUUAGCGGUCCCGGAGGUAAUUAGCGGAGCCUUCCUUCCCGCCGCUAAUGGGCACGGGAGGGCCCAGCCCGCCCCACCGCUGCAGCCGGGGUGGGGGCACCUCCCGCUGUGCCACCCCAGGAGAGGCUUCUGCUGAACCCACCGAGGGCCGUUAACCCCUUCCGUGCCGGGGCUGUUAGCCCGGCAAGCAUCGCCCCCCCCGCCCCCCAACCCCUUCCUCCCCCCCUCCCCGGGGCUCGGUACGGCGGCAGGGCGCCCCGUGUGCGGGACGGAACCCAUCAGUGCGGCCCUGCCAGCCCCGGCACGUCGGCGGUGACAUCGAAGCUGAACCGGUUGUAGCGUCCCCUGGCCAGGAAGCGCGCCCCGUGAGCAAUGCUGCACGUCCAGAGCAGGUAUGUGACAAAGGCCACGUAGGCCACCAGCAGCAGCCCCAGGGGGAUGAGGUAGCCCAGGCCCCGCAGCGUGGGCAGGAAAUCCACCACGAAGUACACAUUGAUGGCACACACCAAGCCCGUGAUGAGGGACAUCAGCACCUGCCCCAGGCUGCAGGCGGCACGCGGGCAUCGGUGCCAGAGCUCCGUGCCACCCACCCCGGCAAGCAGGGCAGCAGGAGCCCAAAUAGGGGGGUUGUGCGGCUCACAGCCACGCUGCACCCCACUCUGGGGCCACCGGGAUGCUGAGGAUGUGGAGGUGUCCCCCCCUAAUCCCCCCCACGCACAACCCCAGCACUCACAGACCGUUGGCGAAGUCAUGCAUGAGCGGGCGCAGGCUGGUGAAGGUGAGGACGGGCAGCACGGCGAAGGGCAGCUGGAAUGAACGGUCAGGGUGAGGGGGGCACAGCGGGGACGGGGGCCCGGCCGUGCCCACCCCUUACCAGGAUGCUCUGCAGCACGUUGAGCAGGUCGUUCAUGCCCGUCAGCUGGCUCACGUCCCUAAAGGCGGCCACGAAGAGGGUGGGCAGGAUGGCGAUGGAGCGCGUCAGCAGCACGCGGGUGAAGCGAGACCAGCGCAGCUGCAGGAAGCCCUGGGGGUGCGGGGAAAAGACGGGGCCCAUCAGCCCUUGGCGUGCUUCCAAAAUUCUCUAGGGCCGUGUCCCCCCUUCCCUGUGGUGCUCGGCUCCUGCAGGGCUGCGGGGCCCCGCUAGAUGUCAGCCCCCGCUCGUUAAGCGAACAGCUCGUUAGGGAAGCAGGGCCUCACGUGGGGCGCUCACGGGGACGUGACUGCCGAGUGGCGGCUCUGGGUGCGCUCUGACCCCAUCCCGGCUCGCGGGGACCCCAAGUGAACCCCUCUGCCCAGAAGAAAUCUCCCUGCCAAAUACCCCUGUUGGGGUCGGGCUGCCCAUAGGACUCCCGCCCGGCGCCCACCCGUGAGUCACCUCUCUCCCCGCCCCUCUCACUGUAUUCCCCGCUCACCUCCAUGACAAACUGUCCCGCGUAGGUGCCUGUCAUGGUGGAGCUCUGCCCUGCUGCCAGGAUCCCCACGGCCCAGAUGUAGAGCGCUGCAGCCCCAAAAUAGCAGCCCAGGAUGACGCCCUGCAUGGCAACGCUCCGUUGGGGAUCCCAAAAUAUCCCCCCUUGGCAUAGCGAGGGGUUGGGUUUGGGAGACCAGAGGCAGCACGGUGCCCCCAAAACAGCCACCAAGGCUAGCUGGCCGUGGGAUGCAGCCCAGCGCCACUCACCCCCUGGUAGAUAUCCACAGACACCGUCUCAUUGUUGAUGGGGAAGAUGCUGGCAUAGCGACUGACGCUGCUGUUGACGCACUUGUUAUGCUGCAAGGCAUGGUGAGCACGAGUGCGGCACGGCUAUGAAUCCAACCCUCCAUCCAUCCAUCCAAUCCAACCUUCAUCCAUCCAUCCAUCCACCUAACCAGACUAAGGAGCUCUCACCCUG
rnacentral:lncRNA from 1 species